UACGUAGGGUGCGAGCGUUGUCCGGAAUUACUGGGCGUAAAGAGCUCGUAGGUGGUUUGUCGCGUUGUCCGUGAAAACUCACAACUCAAUUGUGGGCGUGCGGGCGAUACGGGCAGACUGGAGUACUGCAGGGGAGACUGGAAUUCCUGGUGUAGCAGUGAAAUGCGUAGAGAUCAUGAGGAAGACCAGUGGCGAAGGCGGGUCUCUGGACAGUUCCUGACACUGAGGCACGAAGGCCAGGGGAGCAAACGGG
rnacentral:rRNA from 1 species